rnacentral:rRNA from 1 species
AUGAACGCUGGCGGCGUGCCUAAUACAUGCAAGUCGAGCGAACGGACGAGAAGCUUGCUUCUCUGAUGUUAGCGGCGGACGGGUGAGUAACACGUGGAUAACCUACCUAUAAGACUGGGACAACUUCGGGAAACCGGAGCUAAUACCGGAUAAUAUUUUGAACCGCAUGGUUCAAAAGUGAAAGACGGUCUUGCUGUCACUUAUAGAUGGAUCCGCGCUGCAUUAGCUAGUUGGUAAGGUAACGGCUUACCAAGGCAACGAUGCAUUGCCGACCUGAGAGGGUGAUCGGCCACACUGGAACUGAGACACGGUCCAGACUCCUACGGGAGGCAGCAGUAGGGAAUCUUCCGCAAUGGGCGAAAGCCUGACGGAGCAACGCCGCGUGAGUGAUGAGGGUCCUCGGAUCGUAAAACUCUGUUAUUAGGGAAGAACAUAUGUGUAAGUAACUGUGCACAUCUUGACGGUACCUAA